rnacentral:rRNA from 1 species
CGGACGGGUGAGUAACGCGUGGGUAACCUGCCUUAUACAGGGGGAUAACAGUCAGAAAUGGCUGCUAAUACCGCAUAAGCGCACAGAGCUGCAUGGCUCAGUGUGAAAAACUCCGGUGGUAUAAGAUGGACCCGCGUUGGAUUAGCUUGUUGGUGGGGUAACGGCCCACCAAGGCGACGAUCCAUAGCCGGCCUGAGAGGGUGAACGGCCACAUUGGGACUGGGACACGGCCCAGACUCCUACGGGAGGCAGCAUG